rnacentral:lncRNA from 1 species
UUUUUGUGUUUCUUUUUAUGUUUGUGCCAAGCAAAACCUUUAUGACUAGUUUUGGUGAUGGUUGUUCGAUCUUGCUGAAAAAGACAGAAACUUUGUGCUCACGAAAUUAUUUUCAAUUCUUAUCCAGAAAGAGCUUUUGAGUUGAUUAUUUUUUCUGUUGGUUGAUAUUCCAAUUGCCCUAAUUUUCAUAUUUUUUCAGAAUUUUUGAGAUACCAGAAGUAUACGAAGUAUACAGAUUGCUACAGACUG